rnacentral:lncRNA from 1 species
CUUUGAAUAAGAGUAGUUUGCACACCACACAGCUAUAGUGUUAUAAUAUUCUGUUUUGUUGUGUAUCCUAUUAGCAGUGAGGAUUUUUUUUUUUAUCUUUAGGUGAUCAUUUAUUGCUCGUUAAUGUUCUUUUCUUCCUGAUUGAAGUACUUCCUUUAGCAUUCCUUUAGGACAGGUGUGGUAUUCAUAAAAUACUUCAGCUUUUGUUUGUCUGAAAAAGUUAGUAUUUCUUCUUUUUAUUUGAAGAAUAUUUUCACUGUAUAUUCUAUUCUAAGGUAAAAGUUUUUUUUUCCUUUAGUACUUUAAAUAUUUAUUGCUUCUCUCUCCUGACCAGUAGAGUUUCCACCGUAAAGUCUGCUGCCAGACGUGUUGGAGCUCCCCAGUAUGUCAUUUGUUUCUUUUCUCUUUCUUCCUUUAGAACUUUUCUUUAUCUUUGACUUUUGGAAGAUCUAUUGAAUGCUUUGAAGUAGUCUUUUUUGGGUUAAAUCUGCUUAAUGUUCUAUAACAUUUUUGUAGUUGGAUAUUGUUAUCUUUCUCUAGGUUUGGAAAGUUCUCUGUGAUUAUCCCUCUGAAUAAAUUUUUCUACCCCUGCCUCUUUCUCUACAUCUUCUUUAAAACAAAUAACUCUUAGAUCUGUCUUUGUGAGG